rnacentral:lncRNA from 1 species
GGAGCCGCCGCGGUGCCCCCCCGCGGAGAAGGGGCCCUGGCGGCCCCGCGGCCUGCGGGCGGUGCGGUUUUAGCUGCAGAUCCUCCCUGAGUGGACAGUGAAGAGCUAAAAGUGGCUAUGAAAGAGCCCUCAGGACCGGACUUGCCUGCUGUACGAAGGGAGAGCCUGAAAAGGCAGCCUCAGGUACGUCCAUGGACCAAGAAGCUGAAAAAACACUCCAGAGCAUGUGAAACCCCCAGUGCUCACACAUAUCCAAUGGAUCAGUCUUCUGACCUGACAGUGUAA